GAAUUCGCCCUUAGAGUUUGAUCCUGGCUCAGGACGAACGCUGGCGGCGUGCCUAACACAUGCAAGUCGAACGGAGAUGUUUAUUUCGGUAGAUAUCUUAGUGGCGCACGGGUGAGUAACGCGUGAAUAACCUGACCCGAAGAGGGGGAUAACACCUGGAAACAAGUGCUAAUACCGCAUAAGACCACGGACCGGCAUCGGUCAGAGGUCAAAGGAGGAAUCCGCUUUGGGAGGGGUUCGCGUCCCAUUAGGUAGUUGGUGAGGUAACGGCCCACCAAGCCGACGAUGGGUAGCCGAGCUGAGAGGCUGAUCGGCCACACUGGAACUGAGACACGGUCCAGACUCCUACGGGAGGCAGCAGUGGGGAAUAUUGGGCAAUGGGCGCAAGCCUGACCCAGCAACGCCGCGUGAGGGAAGAAGGUUUUCGGAUUGUAAACCUCUGUCGCAGGGGACGAAGGAAGUGACGGUACCCUGUAAGAAAGCCCCGGCUAACUACGUGCCAGCAGCCGCGGUAAUACGUAGGGGGCGAGCGUUGUCCGGAAUUACUGGGCGUAAAGGGAGCGUAGGCGGUCGAUUAAGUUAGAUGUGAAACCCCCGGGCUUAACUUGGGGACUGCAUCUAAUACUGGUUGACUUAGAGUACAGGAGAGGGAAGCGGAAUUCCUAGUGUAGCGGUGAAAUGCGUAGAUAUUAGGAGGAACACCAGUGGCGAAGGCGGCUUUCUGGACUGACACUGACGCUGAGGCUCGAAAGCGUGGGGAGCAAACAGGAUUAGAUACCCUGGUAGUCCAUGCCGUAAACGAUGAUUACUAGGUGUUGGGGGAUUGACCCCCUCAGUGCCGCAGUUAACACAAUAAGUAAUCCACCUGGGGAGUACGACCGCAAGGUUGAAACUCAAAGGAAUUGACGGGGGCCCGCACAAGCAGUGGAGUAUGUGGUUUAAUUCGAAGCAACGCGAAGAACCUUACCAGGUCUUGACAUCCGAUGCAUAGCACAGAGAUGUGUGAAAUCCUUCGGGACAUCGAGACAGGUGGUGCAUGGUUGUCGUCAGCUCGUGUCGUGAGAUGUUGGGUUAAGUCCCGCAACGAGCGCAACCCUUAUUGCCAGUUACUACGUUAAGAGGACUCUGGCGAGACUGCCGUUGACAAAACGGAGGAAGGUGGGGAUGACGUCAAAUCAUCAUGCCCUUUAUGACCUGGGCUACACACGUACUACAAUGGCGUUAAACAAAGAGAAGCAAGACCGCGAGGUGGAGCAAAACUCAAAAACAACGUCUCAGUUCAGAUUGCAGGCUGCAACUCGCCUGCAUGAAGUCGGAAUUGCUAGUAAUCGCGGAUCAGCAUGCCGCGGUGAAUACGUUCCCGGGCCUUGUACACACCGCCCGUCA
rnacentral:rRNA from 1 species